rnacentral:lncRNA from 1 species
GCAUUUCUCUCUUUCUCCCGACCCUCCUCUUUCCCCGCCCUGCCGGCGCGGGCAAGCGGCCGGACGGGUGCAGGCCGUGCGCUGGGCGGGCAAGCGGGAGGCCGCGCCGGCGGCCGUGCGCGGGAGGCGCAGUGCUGGCGGGCAAAGGCGGCCGAGCGGCUGCGCGUCGCGUGGCGUGGUGUCCACACAGAAGCAUGGCAGUGCCACCCAAGGCAGGGCAGGGCAGGCCCAGCGCACGUACAUGCAUGGCAGUGCUUCCCGGCCUCCCUCCCCUGGCGUCGCUCUCGAGCUCGCUCGCUGCUGCGGCGCCCUGCUACUGCUAGCUGCUCGCAAUUGUGAUGAGGGGGGCCAUAGCAAUUCGGCUGCCUGUUUUGCUUGAGAAUUAGCGACAAUCGGUGUGGUCAGGUAGCAGGGUUUCUGCUUUCAUCCAUCCGGAAACAACAACAAAAAAUCAAUGUUCAGACGGGAUAACUGAACUUUUGUAGCUCUAUUGAAAAUAAGGAGGCCUUGACAUUUUAUGUGAUGUUAUACUAUGCAACACAAGACACUGUUAGACUCGCUGUUUGAGUCCAUGACCUGCUGCAUAAGUUUGAGAGGGGGUAUUUUGGUUUUUUUCAUGUCAAACUUAACGGUUUCAGCUGGUGAAUCUCACGGUAGUAUCAUAAAA